rnacentral:ncRNA from 1 species
AAGUGGUCAAUGAAAAGGUUAGUAGCUUUAUAGUGAUUUAAGAGAAUCAGUGGUUGGUGAAAACUGGUUAUUAUUAUACUGUGAAUCCACCUUGGAGAUACUGUUAAAAGCAGUUCGGUGAUACCGUUAUAAUCUUAAAGAGAGUCAAUAUGUUAUUGGCUAAUUAGGGUGGCAACACGGAAUCUUUUCGUCCCUUUG